CAGUCCGUUUCGUGGGACACGACGACCGGCCCUCGCCCUCCCCCGCUACCCUGGCCGCGUGCCCCUUCCGCUGAAGGGCGCAAAGCCGACAGCCGUCGCAUCCCAGGGAGAACACCCAUG
rfam:Streptomyces sp. SirexAA-E, complete genome.